rnacentral:rRNA from 1 species
UACAGGGGGUGCAAACGUUGCUCGGAAUCAUUGGGCGUAAAGCGCACGUAGGCGGUCUGUUAUGUCGGAUGUGAAAGCCCUUGGCUUAACUGAGGAAGUGCAUCCGAAACUGGCAGGCUAGAGUACUAAAGAGGGUCGCGGAAUUCCCGGUGUAGAGGUGAAAUUCGUAGAUAUCGGGGGGAACACCGGUGGCGAAGGCGGCGACCUGGGUAGAUACUGACGCUGAGGUGCGAAAGCGUGGGGAGCAAACAGG